rnacentral:rRNA from 1 species
GACGAACGCUGGCGGCGUGCUUAACACAUGCAAGUCGAACGGGAAGGCCCUGCUUUUGUGGGGUGCUCGAGUGGCGAACGGGUGAGUAACACGUGAGUAACCUGCCCUUGACUUUGGGAUAACUUCAGGAAACUGGGGCUAAUACCGGAUAGGAGCUCCUGCUGCAUGGUGGGGGUUGGAAAGUUUCGGCGGUUGGGGAUGGACUCGCGGCUUAUCAGCUUGUUGGUGGGGUAGUGGCUUACCAAGGCGUUGACGGGUAGCCGGCCUGAGAGGGUGACCGGCCACAUUGGGACUGAGAUACGGCCCAGACUCCUACGGGAGGCAGCAGUGGGGAAUAUUGCGCAAUGGGCGGAAGCCUGAUGGAGCAACGCCGCGUGCGGGAUGACGGCCUGCGGGUUGUAAACCGCUUUCGCCUGUGACGAAGCGUGAGUGACGGUAAUGGGUAAAGAAGCACCGGCUAACUACGUG